AGGGUGCGAGCGUUAUCCGGAAUUAUUGGGCGUAAAGAGCUCGUAGGCGGUUUGUCGCGUCUGUCGUGAAAGUCCGGGGCUUAACCCCGGAUCUGCGGUGGGUACGGGCAGACUAGAGUGCAGUAGGGGAGACUGGAAUUCCUGGUGUAGCGGUGGAAUGCGCAGAUAUCAGGAGGAACACCGAUGGCGAAGGCAGGUCUCUGGGCCGUAACUGACGCUGAGGAGCGAAAGCAUGGGGAGCGAACAGGAUUAGAUACCCUGGUAGUCCAUGCCGUAAACGUUGGGCACUAGGUGUGGGGACCAUUCCACGGUUUCCGCGCCGCAGCUAACGCAUUAAGUGCCCCGCCUGGGGAGUACGGCCGCAAGGCUAAAACUCAAAGGAAUUGACGGGGGCCCGCACAAGCGGCGGAGCAUGCGGAUUAAUUCGAUGCAACGCGAAGAACCUUACCAAGGCUUGACAUGUUCUCGAUCGCCGUAGAGAUACGGUUUCCCCUUUGGGGCGGGAUCACAGGUGGUGCAUGGUUGUCGUCAGCUCGUGUCGUGAGAUGU
rnacentral:rRNA from 1 species